rnacentral:rRNA from 1 species
ACAUGCAAGCCGAGCGGUAGAGAGAAGCUUGCUUCUCUUGAGAGCGGCGGACGGGUGAGUAAUGCCUANGAAUCUGCCUGGUAGUGGGGGAUAACGUUCGGAAACGGACGCUAAUACCGCAUACGUCCUACGGGAGAAAGCGGGGGACCUUCGGGCCUUGCGCUAUCAGAUGAGCCUAGGUCGGAUUAGCUAGUUGGUGAGGUAAUGGCUCACCAAGGCGACGAUCCGUAACUGGUCUGAUAGGAUGAUCAGUCACACUGGAACUGAGACACGGUCCAUACUCCUACGGGAGGCAGCAGUGGGGAAUAUUGGACAAUGGGCGAAAGCCUGAUCCAGCCAUGCCGCGUGUGUGAAGAAGGUCUUCGGAUUGUAAAGCAUUUUAAGUUGGGAGGAAGGGCAGUUACCUAAUACGUGAUUGUUUUGACGUUACCGACAGAAUAAGCACCGGCUAACUCUGUGCCAGCAGCCUUGGUAAUACGGAGGGUGCUAGCGUUAAACGGAAUUACUGGGCGUAAAGCGCGCGUAGUUGGUUAGUUAAGUUGGAUGUGAAAUCCCCGGGCUCGACCUGGGAACUGCAUUCAAAACUGAUUGACUAUAGUAUGGUAUAGGGUGGUGGAAUUUCCUGUGUAGCGGUGAUAUGCGUAGAUAUAUGAAGGAACACCAGUGGCGAAGGCGACCACCUGGACUGAUACUGACAGUGAGGUGCGAAAGCGUGGAUAGCUA